CAAAAUGGAGUCCUUGAGGACCUGCUCCAUGAUUUUUCCAGGGACUGAGGGCCCCCAGCUGCCAUUAACUGUGUUCAGUGUCGCGGGACUGAAUGGAGGAAUGAGCUGGAUCAGCUUGGCAAAGAAGGGAGCUGGACACGGAUCUGCCGUCUCCCAUGAACAACAGACCUCCUUCCGCUGGGCAAGGGGGCAGCACCUUGCGGGUUAAACCUCCAGCACAGGGCAGAGCUGGCAUGUUUAUCGUAACAGCAGCUAGGGAAAGAGGAAAAGCAACAAAGUCCUUUGGCUCACAGGGUGAUCUGAGCCCUGAGCCUUUAGCUCCCUUUACAGCUUCAAGCAAUCACUCUAAUGGGAGGCAACUAGCCCAGAGGAGGCUACAGAGACAUUUCAUGAUGCAUAGAGAUAAGGCAUUUGUGGCGACAUCGUUAACCUCUUGGGUUCAGACCAAAUAUUGCAAAAGUCCAUUAAUUUUGCAGUGUUGUUUGUGCUUCGGGUGUUAAAUUCUCUUCUCUAAGGGGCGGACAGUGCUGUAUUUUGGCAUGACACACACGGCAACGGCUGGCAGGACAGGGGGUGUUUCCCCUCCACUCCUGCACCAGCUGUGGGGCACCAUCUUCCUAAAUAGCAACGCUACAAAUCUUCCUGGUUUACCCAUUGCCUUUCUGAACAAGACCCUUCCCUGCCUCUCUGGAACACACCUCAAGGUAAAAUCCUCCAAUAUGAGAACACCCAAACUCCCUCCCAGAUACCGCACGCCAAACCUCCUGCUGCACCUCAACCCCCGUCCCGUCCCUGGCCCCACCCCGGAGCCCACCCCACCAGCUGGAGCUGCCCCCCCUCCCACACUCCCAUCCCCUGCCCUGGCCCUGAGCCCACUCUUCUACUCCAAGCCUCCAGGAGCCCCACAAAAUCUAAUAGCCCACAGGAGAGUGAAUCUGGCUCUUUCUGCACUCUGUUAUUUGUUAAUUUUUUUAAUCAAUUGGUGUUAUUUAUUUUUUAAGUGUCCAACUCUACUAAAAAAAGUCAGUCUGGAAUAUUUCCGUCAAUAUGUAACAUUCCCCAGAGCAUCAAUUCCUAAUAAAAUCAAAACUGCAACAUA